ACUAUCCAAUGAGAGACUCCUAAGGCCAAUUCUCAGCAAACUAUCAAAGACUCUUUCUACCCAUAUUGCCGGACAACAUAUUGGAACGUGGCAUGGCACAUU